GUCCUCGUAGUGUAGUGGUUAUCACAUCUGCUUAACACGCAGAAGGUCCCAGGUUCGAGACCUGGCGAGGACA